CGGGGCGUGGCGCAGCCUGGUUAGCGCGCUUGUCUGGGGGACAAGAGGUCCCCGGUUCAAAUCCGGGCGCCCCGACUA
rnacentral:tRNA from 1 species